rnacentral:tRNA from 1 species
GGGGUUGUAGCUCAGUGGUAGAGCAUUUAGGUAAAACUUCCAAGACUGUGGGUUCAAUCCCCACUACCA